CAGGAUGUAAGAAGGAAAACAAAUCAGCGAGAAGAUACUGCCCCUUACCCCCGCUUAAAGAGGAGACACAGAUGCCCUGUGAACACCUACCAGUUGGCUGACAUCUGGGGCUCAGAUAAGUCCUCUCUGGCCCUAGUUUCAUUUCUUUGAAUGAAACAGCUCUAUGAGAGCUCUCUUCAGAGUUUAUAUGUUCUCGACACUGUUCCUAGCCAGUGGCAAUGAAUAAAUCAACCUAUACUAAUUGAAAAUUAGCUGUGGGCAAGCCACAGUAUGAAACACUCCUGGGCACCAUGGAGGAUUCCAGAAAGGCUUGGUCCUUGCCUGUAAGAAACUAACAAUCGAAUAAUGAAAAUAAACAGAAACUCUUAACUCUUAA